AGGUAUCAAAACAUCACAUUAGUUAUGGCCAUAUUAUAGGAACAUCGAGUGAAAUCAAGUUGAGUUAUUUAUUUUUAGCUACAGCAAGCAGAGGUGUGGCUUGUGUUUUGGCUACGAGAAAGCUGGCCCUGGUCUACAUACUUGGACAAGGAUGUAGAUGAAAUCUCAGAUUCAGAAUGAACGUCUACUGUGGGUGGACCUCUAUUGUUGGGGACAGUCUCUACUGGUAAUUGCUUCAAAUUGAGAAAGCUCUCUCUUUUUUCUAUUCAGUGUGUGAAGUGCUUGAAUGUCUUAAUUGAGAACAUGAUUUUGAACUGUGGAGUUGGCGUUUUACAGAAAAAACCUAGUGUGAAUGAAGGUUCCGAGUGGAAAUCUAGAUUCCGUUCUUGUUUAGUUUAUGUGGUGGUGAUUGUACUUGAUAUUAUGAUUAUAUUAUGGUUGUUUAUGUGCACUAAUAUUUGUUUCGGCGGUAUCUACUUUUGUUUGGUCAUAAGGAAAGUAAAACACGAAGUAACUCAGGAUAUUAUCAUCAUCCUUAAAAAGAAAUGGAUAGUUAAGGUAGAGCAAUUUCAAGGCAGUUUUCUUAGAAAUAACUUUAAACUUUACAUUAUGGAAGAACUACCCUGCUGAUAAUUUUUAAUGCUUGAAUAUACUUUCAAGAGUUGCUAACAGCUGAACAACAUGAUGCCUCAUACUUGGAAGCCUAAAUUAUCUUGUUCAUGCUUUAGAUUUCUACUCAACCUGUAAGUAUCGUCUAUCUUUCAGUAAAGAGUCCCUAAAAAUCUAUGUAGUUCAGAUGUUGAAAGUUGUGAGGCAAAUUUGUUGCAAAAUUUUUAAACAUCAUCGCAUGAGUCAUGCGUCAUUUUUGUUCUCGACUGCUUAAGGCCUGCUUAGUUUUAGAAAACAGCUUUAGUUUCCAUUUUCAUAGAAAUUGUUUUCGAUGUUUUGUUGACAAAAUAUUUGUUCAGUGAAAAUAAUGUCAUUAGGGAUGAAAUUGUGAGAAUAUGCUUGGGUUACAUCACAUUCCAAAAACAGGCUUAUUUAUUCCAAAUCUCCAUGUUUGCAUUUGGAAUGGGAAUAAAAAAAAGUCAUCUUUAGUUUUUAAUUUUGAUUCUGAGAAUAGUUUUCCUUUUAUUCGUCGACUGCUUUUGGAGUGUUACCAAACGCAUUUUCUGGUCUGUUUUAAUUCUCAAAUUGAAAUCAGAACAGACUUUUGAGAAUCUUUAUCAGCCGAAUGCCUCCUUAGAUUAUCAAUCUCUUUCUGUCUGUAGAAAAAAUGGACUUCAUCAAGUUGCUUAACAGGCUUUGAACAUUGAAGAUUACUUCAUUCAUCCAGGCAUCAUUAUAUGUAAUGCAUAAGCAGUGGGUUGAUGCCACUAACAUAUUUCGCGAGGAAGUUUGAUUUGCUGUCAAACCUUGUUAGUGACCAUGGCAAGUGAUACUGUUAAUUCAGAGUGGUAGAUGGCGUUUCUUUUUUCUUCAUUUAACUAUUUUCGUUUGCUUAUCUAGGUCUUGACUCUUUCCCUUAGGAGGAAUUUUCCAAUCUAUCAGUUUCGUGUUAAUUCUCUGGAUGAAGUG
rnacentral:lncRNA from 1 species